rnacentral:tRNA from 1 species
GAGGGUAUAGUUCAAGUGGUAGAGCACAUGCUUAGCAUGCAUGAGGUCCUGGGUUCAAUCCCCAGUACUUCCU